rnacentral:rRNA from 1 species
CUUUUGUAUAAUGGGUCAGCGACUUAUAUUCUGUAGCAAGGUUAACCGAAUAGGGGAGCCGAAGGGAAACCGAGUCUUAACUGGGCGUUAAGUUGCAGGGUAUAGACCCGAAACCCGGUGAUCUAGCCAUGGGCAGGUUGAAGGUUGGGUAACACUAACUGGAGGACCGAACCGACUAAUGUUGAAAAAUUAGCGGAUGACUUGUGGCUGGGGGUGAAAGGCCAAUCAAACCGGGAGAUAGCUGGUUCUCCCCGAAAGCUAUUUAGGUAGCGCCUCGUGAAUUCAUCUCCGGGGGUAGAGCACUGUUUCGGCAAGGGGGUCAUCCCGACUUACCAACCCGAUGCAAACUGCGAAUACCGGAGAAUGUUAUCACGGGAGACACACGGCGGGUGCUAACGUCCGUCGUGAAGAGGGAAACAACCCAGACCGCCAGCUAAGGUCCCAAAGUCAUGGUUAAGUGGGAAACGAUGUGGGAAGGCCCAGACAGCCAGGAUGUUGGCUUAGAAGCAGCCAUCAUUUAAAGAAAGCGUAAUAGCUCACUGGUCGAGUCGGCCUGCGCGGAAGAUGUAACGGGGCUAAACCAUGCACCGAAGCUGCGGCAGCGACGCUGAUGCGUUGUUGGGUAGGGGAGCGUUCUGUAAGCCUGCGAAGGUGUGCUGUGAGGCAUGCUGGAGGUAUCAGAAGUGCGAAUGCUGACAUAAGUAACGAUAAAGCGGGUGAAAAGCCCGCUCGCCGGAAGACCAAGGGUUCCUGUCCAACGUUAAUCGGGGCAGGGUGAGUCGACCCCUAAGGCGAGGCCGAAAGGCGUAGUCGAUGGGAAACAGGUUAAUAUUCCUGUACUUGGUGUUACUGCGAAGGGGGGACGGAGAAGGCUAUGUUGGCCGGGCGACGGUUGUCCCGGUUUAAGCGUGUAGGCUGGUUUUCCAGGCAAAUCCGGAAAAUCAAGGCUGAGGCGUGAUGACGAGGCACUACGGUGCUGAAGCAACAAAUGCCCUGCUUCCAGGAAAAGCCUCUAAGCAUCAGGUAACAUCAAAUCGUACCCCAAACCGACACAGGUGGUCAGGUAGAGAAUACCAAGGCGCUUGAGAGAACUCGGGUGAAGGAACUAGGCAAAAUGGUGCCGUAACUUCGGGAGAA